GGGGGUAGAUAGGUGCCGGUGUGCCUACUGGUCUUCAAAACCAGCUUGCCCAUCUUAAAAAUGGGCAGGUGGGUUCGAUUCCCACAUGCUCCCGCCA
rnacentral:tRNA from 1 species